AGGAACCUGCCUAGAGACGCCACAGCAGUGUGCCCAAGUAGUCCUGUUGGCAGCCUGCCCCUAUGCAGCUUUUGGCGAUGCAAAACGACUUCUUGGUAUUUGGAGAUUUUGUUUUUCGGGAGAAACAAAUAAUACUGCUAAGAUUAAGGAUUCAGAAUAUUUAAAGUAGACUGCCGACUGGCAGCGAAGACACUUCUUUCUUUCCCUAGUAGCUACGGCUUGGUGUCUGUACUUCACUUGGCCAGCACAGAACGCUGCAGCUUUCCACGCCACUGUGGUACAUCCACUUGUUGGAUAGUCCUGAGGGCAUCCUAGCCCAAGUGUUUCUGCUGCUCUAACCUGGGGAGAAUUGGCGCGACUAAUUAUUGCUAUUGUUAAUGCUGUUACGAUUUUGCCUAAUACUUACUGAAUGAUAAACAUGUAUUUUCUCCCCCAUGUGGGAAGGCUGUAACAGACAGACAGCAGCCACUACGAAAUACGCUGAAAAGAGCCAGCAGAAAAAAUGAGGAGAGACUGUUCUGCAAGCCAGGAAAUCCAAGCAAGGUGUCGGCAGAUUUGAUGUCUGGUGAGGUUCCAUUCCUCAUAGAUGGUUCCUUCUGUGUAUCAUCACAGGAUGGAAGGGGCAAGUCGAUUCCCUGAAGCCUCUUUUAUAAGGGCACUACGUGAGUCCUCAUAACCUAAUUACCUCCCAAAGGCCCCACCUCUUAAUCCUGUUGCAUUGGAGGUUAGGCUUUAACAUACUAAUUUUGGGUACACAAAUAUUUAGACCAUAGCAGAUACGUAUCCCAGAUUCAGAUUUUGGGCAGGAUUGAAGAACGUGACCAUUGAACUUGGAGCCUAGAACCAACUUGACUGCUUUUACUGCACAUUUAGAACUAAGCUGGAAGUCCAUGGGCUCACCCCCUCCUCUUGGGGUAUACUCCUUCCAUAUAGGAACUGCAACUCAGCAGGGAUCAUUUCACCUUCUAAUUUAUGUAAUCUAAUGCACCUUUUAAUUUAUUUAAUCCAGGCACUGUGGUAGGCCCAGGAGAUACCAGGAUGAAAGACGUAUUCUAGAGCUCAUUCUGGAGACAAAGACAGCAGCCACCAGAUUUAUUUUAACAAAACUAAAGAGGCUUUGAGAACCAGAAAGGAUCUCACAAGUUGCCAGUCCAUGACAAAGUUUUCUCUGACAAAUGCUGAAAUUUAAAAAUAUGGACAAUGUAUUAAGUUUUCAUAAAAAUAAAUUUAUUCAAUUUAAAAG
rnacentral:lncRNA from 1 species